ACACAGAGAGACUUUGCCCCCUUUUCCUUUCUUGUUUGGAGGCCUUUUAAAAGUCCCCCCUGUGUUGACACGGAUGACAGUCAAAGGUUUCUGGGAUUGCCUCCUUUCAAAAAUUGGCGACCUUCAGGAUUGAGGUGCGGAGUUUCACGAGGAGCAAGGAUACCCCCUUUUUAAACCUUGCUCGUUUAUAAAAGACAUUUCUUCUGAAGCAACAACUCUGGAUGGGAAAUGUUUGGGGCUCGAUGGGUCCCUGGAACCAGACAGUCUACCUGAAUGUAUUUAGCCUGCUGUCGUUGUUGCGAGCAUCAUUAUCAAUGGGAUAUACUUGGACACAUACACACAAAUUGUAUGUAUCUGUGUUUUACUGGUCGACUUAAAACUUCUCUGCCUCCCGCUC